ACCCUCCGGUUCCCUUGCCCAUCAAAUAUAAACACUGGUCUGCGUGGUUACAAAAGAAAGGAAAGGGAAAGGGGAAAGGGCGUCAGUGCUCUGUGGCUCACGGGCUAGUUUCAAACAAGC
rnacentral:snoRNA from 1 species